GACGAACGCUGGCGGCGUGCUUAACACAUGCAAGUCGAGCGAAGAGACGAGGUGCUUGUUCCUCGGACGGUAGCGGUGGACGGGUGAGUAAUAAGUGGAUAAUCACCUGACAACACCGGCAUGACAUCGGCAUACCGGUGUUACUAAUGCAUAAUAUACUGAAUCGCUCGCAUCAUUAGUCUAAGACGGAUUUUGUGUCAGUUAUGGAUGGACCCGCGCCCCAUUAGCUAGUUGGUAAGGUGAUGGCUUACCAAGGCAACGAUGCGUAGCCGACCUGAGAGGGUGAUCGGCCACACUGGAACUGAGGCACGGUCCAGACUCCUACGAGAGGCAGCAGUAGGGAAUCUUACGCAAUGGGCGGAGGCCUGACGGAGCAACGCCGCGUGAGUGAUGAAGGUCUUCGGAUCGUAAAACUCUGUUAUUGGGGAAGAACAAGUGUGUAAGUGACUGUGCGCGUCUUGACGGUACCUAAUCAGAAAGCCACGGCUAACUACGUG
rnacentral:rRNA from 1 species